CCUACGGGUGGCAGCAGUGAGGAAUAUUGGUCAAUGGACGCAAGUCUGAACCAGCCAAGUCGCGUGCAGGAAGACGGCCCUAUGAGUUGUAAACCGCUUUUGUCCGGGGGUAAACGGCGCUACGUGUAGCUUUAUCCAAGUAACGUACGAAUAAGGACCGGCUAAUUCCGUGCCAGCAGCCGCGGUAAUACGGAAGGUUCAGACGUUAUCCGGAUUUAUUGGGUUUAAAGGGUGCGUAGGCGGGCCUGUAAGGUAGGUGUGAAAUUCCGGGGCUCAACCGUCGCACUGCAGUGGAAACUGGUGGGCUUGAGUGUGUCAGAGGUAGGCGGAAUGCGUGGUGUAGCGGUGAAAUGCUUAGAGAUCACGCAGAACUCCGAUUGCGAAGGCAGCAUACCGGCGCCCUACUGACGCUGAGGCACGAAAGCGUGGGUAGCGAACAGGAUUAGAUACCCCUGUAGUC
rnacentral:rRNA from 1 species